rnacentral:tRNA from 1 species
UAGAAAAUGGUGUAGUGGAAGCACUGAAGGUUUUGAGCUUUCAGGGAAGGGUUCGAACCCCUUUUUUCUAA